rnacentral:lncRNA from 1 species
CAAUUCUAUAAAACAAACUAAUAAGGUCGAAUGAUGUAAAACCUAUUUGGAAAGGUUAUAUGUGGAUCGAGAAUUAAGAGAACAACAAUGUUAUCUCGUGGUGAUUGAAGAUUAGCUCUAUCUGGAAAGUGAGUCGUGUUCCACCUUUGUUUUUAUCCUGUCCUGGAUGCAUGGAUAGAAUGACCCUGAUUCAUGAAGGUUAAACUUGCCUUUCUUUGAAGCUGAUAGAUAUGGGGAAGAAAGCUCCUAGAUCUCAUUUGAGGAUCUGGAACCUUUGUGCCUGUAAAUGAAAAGAAAAUACCAAAAAGCAGCAGAUAAAUCAAUUAAUUGAAAAAUGAGAUAUGCUAGAUAAAUUCUUGUAAUUUGCAACCCAUCCUCACGGCUUAAACUGAGGGUGUUACUCAACGCAAGAUACAAGUACCUGCAACUUAGAAAUCAAAUCCUUAUUUUUUCUACCUAUUUCUUGGAACGUGGAUCCAUUAAUAGCAAUCUUUACUUAUUUAUUUCAGGACUCUUUUUCACAGACCUUUUCUGGUUAUUGGAAAUGACCUUAUUGAAUAAGGCAUGGCAUUAUUUCCUCACUCCCUGAUUUAUUUUUUUUCUUCUAUAUGGAUCCCAGAUAUCUACAGGGGUUUUUAGAAUCCAUAAAAGAUGAUGAGAGAGGACAAGACAGGACCUUAGGAAAAAGAUUCAAUCUUAUCAAAAGUUUGGAAAGCAUAGGCAGUCAGUUAUUCAUGAAAAAGAAAAGAAACGUAACCCUUGGUAAGUCUUAUGAUUGAUAUUAAAGUUAAUGCAUUCUUCAUUAAAAGCAGCAAUUGAGGUAACUUAUACCCGUUUGUUUCGUCAAAAUGAAGUAGAGUAAAACUUAUUUAAAUAAAUAUACUCGAUUCUGGGUGUGGAUUUAAUGUAAAUCAAUACUUUAAUCCUCAAUCUGAAACGGAACAGCG